UAGACAGUGAACUCUGCGAUUGAAAGACAGACAGAAGUGUGUCUAUGUCACAGCGUCUGCCGGGACAGAGCCGUCCUCUCAGAACUGAGACGCGAGAAACCAGGCGUAGACUCUAACAAGGUUAAACCUCCCCGACCGAAAAAAAAGUAAAGAAGAAGAAGAGACUUUUUUUUUCCAAUCACAGAGAUUUGUGUUUCUGCAGGGUGUAAUUAGCUUUACUGUGGGGGAGGACGGAGGGUCUGGACGCUGGCGAUGGGCCGAUGAGGACCAGGAUGACAGUGGGACACAUUGUGGAGUCCAGCAGAUUCAGGGAGCGACGUCCUCUGUCUCUGCACUUUCACCAAUCACAAUGGCCUCAUGAUUUAUGAGAUAUGACUGGAGCAGAGCUGAGGUGGAGAUGUGAUGCCAGGACCUGAUGGACCUGCUGGGGGCACAUCAGGAUGGAAAUGAGGCUGUGAGGACCAGCCAGGGCUUUUGUCUGGAAACUUCACUUGUUUGUUUAAGCCGAGGCCGAGGCAGGAAGCCGACCCACACGACUCUGCCGCGUCCAUGGCAACCGCACUGUUAAUGAUGGCACAUCCACUCCCGGAGUCUUUUCAGUGGAGCAGAGAGGUGGAGACUGCUGAGAGCUGGACCAGGGAGCACAGAAAGACGUGUGCGUGUGUGUUUGUUUCUAUGGUGGUGGGGAUUCAGUUUGGGUGUUUUGAAGACAUUUUGAUCGGCCCUCACAUUUUCAACAAAGGCCUUUCCUGAGGGUCUUGGCGUGGAUUUUUGGGGGUCGGACUUUAUGAACUGUACAAAAAUAGACGUAGUGAAGUGGACGCAAAAAAAAAAAAGUUGGAUUUUUUAUAUCAAUGUUGUAAUAUAAAUGCCCAGUUAGAGGUAAGACAGAGAAAAAGUUAGCUGAAAUAGAAGCUUAAAGUUAGCCCAAAGUAGCUAGGUUUUCAAAGUGAUAAACAAACAAAGAUGAGCAUAAAAAAAAUAGAUUCUAGUUACCCAGGAAAUAGAAAUGUAUGAAAAAAGAAAAUAGUUAAAAGCUAAGGGAGAGAGAACUUAGCUCUGAUAUUUAACCUAUCAGAAAACUACAGCACAACACAAAAAAUAAUGGAUAUUGACCGAAAGUUAUCUAAAAGUUAGCCGAAACGUGCUUAAAAGACAUUUAAAAACUAGUUCAUUUUAACAGAAAUUAAGUUCAGAUAUAGUAAAUGCAUGGCAGCUAAAGUUAGCACAUAUAAAUCUAAAACUUUGUCCAGAAAAUGGUAAAACACUGGAGGAAAAUGAGUGGAAAACCUACAACAGAAACACAUUUUGUCAUAACCCGUGGUCUAGUCCCAACUUAAAAAUGCCAGAAAUUACCAAAAAAAAAAGGAACAAAAUAUUACUUUUCCAAAAAAAA